GCAUCAUCAAAAUAUAGUCUCUAUUGUUUUAGAAUUUGAUUUUUUAGAUCUGGUCACAAUUAUGCUGUAUAGAUAAAACUGUGUGUUCUAAACGGAUUUGAAGUCAGAAACUUGCACUGCCAAAACAACACUGUGUCUUAUCAGCUCUGCCUCAAUUUGCAAAUCAAUAUGGACACUAUUGACGGGAGCGGCUGGCCAUCUGGAGUGGCAGUUGCCAUCAAGCCAGUAGCGCUUGGGCCGCACGGGCAGUGUUGUCAGGAGGAGCAGCAGUGGUGGUGGUAGGACCCCGUUCCCUGUGUCCCCAAGGCAUCUGACUGCGCCGCCCCCUAAUGGCUGGGCAGGACCCACUCCCAGGUGCAGACCCUCCAUGGCGGCCUCAACUUCGCUUCCCACCACAUCUGGGAGCCCAUCAGCCCUGGCAGCCGGGUCUUGCAGGAUUGGCCCCAGGAGCAUCAAGUUCAUUUGUGCGGCAUUAGCCAAGUCCCCCAUGCUACCUGCACCUCGCCCAUGCACUACCACAGGGAAGACGCAGAGAGGAGUCACGGCCAGGGCUGCACACUCUAUGGAGCUGGUGGGAGCUGGGGACAAGUGGGAGCCCAGCCCCUUCCAAGUUGCCAGGGCAGGAACUCCCCAGGCGCAACUGCAGCUGCCCAAGGAGGGUCUGCGACCCAGGCACUCCUGUGCUCUUGGGAGCCAGGAGAAGGCAGGAGCCCCACCCUCUCAGGCACAGCUGGAGCCUUUCAAGACACAGCUGCAGACCCAGGCACCUCUGCACUCUUGGGGCCUGGGAAGGCCCCCGUGACCACACAGGCUCGGAAGUGCCUGCACCCACUGUCUGGGUUCUCCUCGCUGUCAGCACUUGCUCCAAUCUUCGAGCAAAGUUGAGGUCGAGCACACUAUAUUGUGACCAAUAUAAAAUAGAUAUAAAAAUACCUCUUACACUUAAAUCCAGGCAUUGUCAUUUGAAUGACUUAAGAAUAUGCAGCUAAGGUGCUUUUAAA
rnacentral:lncRNA from 1 species